AUUGAACGCUGGUGGCAUGCUUUACACAUGCAAGUCGAACGGUAACAGGGAGCUUGCUCCGCUGACGAGUGGCGAACGGGUGAGUAAUAUAUCGGAACGUACCCAAGAGUGGGGGAUAACGUAGCGAAAGUUACGCUAAUACCGCAUACGAUCUAAGGAUGAAAGCAGGGGACCUUCGGGCCUUGUGCUCCUGGAGCGGCCGAUAUCUGAUUAGCUAGUUGGUGAGGUAAAGGCUCUCCAAGGCGACGAUCAGUAGCUGGUCUGAGAGGACGACCAGCCACACUGGAACUGAGACACGGUCCAGACUCCUACGGGAGGCAGCAGUGGGGAAUUUUGGACAAUGGGCGCAAGCCUGAUCCAGCAAUGCCGCGUGAGUGAAGAAGGCCUUCGGGUUGUAAAGCUCUUUUGUCAGGGAAGAAACGGGAUUGGCUAAUAUCCAGUCCUAAUGACGGUACCUGAAGAAUAAGCACCGGCUAACUACGUG
rnacentral:rRNA from 1 species